rnacentral:rRNA from 1 species
UACAGAGGUCUCGAGCGUUAGGCGGAAUCACUGGGCUUAAAGCGUGUGUAGGCGGGUCGUUAAGUACCUUGUGAAAUCCCAUGGCUCAACCAUGGAACUGCUGGGUAUACUGGCGAUCUUGUGCAACCUAGGGGCGAGCGGAACAGAUGGCGGAGCGGUGAAAUGCGUAGAUAUCAUCUGGAACGCCAAUGGUGAAAACAGCUCGCUGGGGGUUUGCAGACGCUGAGACACGAAAGCCAGGGGAGCGAACGGG